UACAGAGGGUGCAAGCGUUAAUCGGAAUUACUGGGCGUAAAGAGUGCGUAGGUGGUUAGGUAAGUUAGAUGUGAAAUCCCUGGGCUCAACCUAGGAACUGCGUUUAAAACUGCUUAGCUAGAGUAUUGUAGAGGAUAGUGGAAUUUCCAGUGUAGCGGUGAAAUGCGUAGAUAUCUGGAGGAACACCGGUGGCGAAGGCGGCAUCCUGGACCAAUUCUGACGCUGAGUGAGCGAAAGCCAGGGGAGCAAACGAG
rnacentral:rRNA from 1 species